rnacentral:sRNA from 1 species
AUCGACGAAAUGCCUAAGAAUGGAUUGAAGAAAGUUGAAGAAUUGAAGAAGGUUGAAGAAGUGAAGAAGGUUAUUGAAGAUGCAUGCUA